GUCCCAAUCUCCCCUGUCCAGCUGCCAGUUGGUUUCAGUGGCUGGAGUCGUAUGGGUCUCCUGCAGAAAAAGAACAGUAUACCCUCCCUCCUGGAGAAAGGAGAGUACCUGGCACCUGCGGAGACUCAUCCUGCAGCCACAUAUGUUGAGGAUCACAGUGAGGGACCUCAUCGGUGGGGCAUGCUGUUAAGUUUAGCAGGGCUUUCAUGGGAGACAAUGCCAGCUGCAGGGCUCAUUAGGAAUCCCAACUCCCUCCCAUAGGUGUAGAGGGCAUCAUGGAAGCUGAAGGCCUGCUGAUAGUUCCUGGUCUCUCACUCUGGAUGCUGG